rnacentral:rRNA from 1 species
CGACGCUCUCGGGCCUCUGGGGAAUGUAUUCGGGCUUCGAGCUGUGCGAGUCCGACGCGCUGCCCGACAGCGAGGAAUAUCGCGACGCGGAGAAAUACGAGCUGCGCGCGCGCGACUGGCGGCGGCCCGGCCACAUCGGCGACGAAAUCGCGCGGCUCAACCGCGCGCGGCGCGACAACCCGGCGCUGCAGACGCAUCUCGGCAUCCGCUUCGCGCACGCGCCGAACGACGCGGUGCUGGUGUUCUCGAAGGCGACGCCCGCGCACGACAACGUCGUCGUCGUCGCGAUCAGCCUCGAUCCGUGGCAUCCGCAGGCCACCGAUUUCACGCUCGACGCAGCGCUGUACCGCGGCUGGGGCAUCGCCGACGGCGAGCGGCUCGUCGCCGUUGAUCAGACGGCCGACCACGUCGAAACCUGGCACGGGCGCCGGCAUUACGUCGCGCUCGACCCGCACGUGCGCCCGUUCGCGAUCUGGCGCGUCGCGCCCGCGGCGGGCGUCGCGCGCGGCGCGCGCGACGACGCGCGCGACGUCCCCGCACAGGAGGUGCACGAACGAUGAAGCCCGCAGACACGCUCGAAGACGUCGGCCGCGCGCAGUUCGUCGCGCACAUGGCCCGAAGGCCGCGCCGCGCGCGCAGGCGAGAAGCGCCCGGCGUCGCCGACACGCCGCUGUGGUACAAGGAUGCGAUCAUCUACCAGUUGCACGUGAAGUCGUUCUUCGACGCCAACAACGACGGCGUCGGCGAUUUCGCCGGCCUGAUCGCGAAGCUCGACUACAUCGCGGAGCUCGGCGUCGACACGGUGUGGCUGCUGCCGUUCUAUCCGUCGCCGCGCCGCGACGACGGCUACGACAUCGCCGACUACCGCGGCGUGCAUCCCGACUACGGCACGCUCGCGGACGUGCGCCGCUUCAUCCGCGAGGCGCACGCGCGCGGGCUGCGGGUGAUCACCGAGCUCGUGAUCAACCACACGUCGGAUCAGCAUCCGUGGUUCCAGCGCGCCCGGCGCGCGAAGCGCGGCUCCGUCCACCGCGACUACUACGUGUGGUCCGACACCGAUCUCAAGUACGCGGGCACGCGGAUCAUCUUCCUCGAUACCGAGACGUCGAACUGGACGCACGAUCCGGUCGCGGGCCAGUACUACUGGCAUCGCUUCUAUUCGCAUCAGCCCGACCUGAACUUCGACAAUCCGGCCGUGGUGCGCGAAGUGCUGCAGAUCAUGCGCUUCUGGCUCGAUCUCGGCAUCGACGGGCUGCGGCUCGACGCGGUGCCCUACCUCGUCGAGCGCGAGGGCACGAGCAACGAGAACCUGCCGCAGACGC